AUGAACGCUGGCGGCGUGCUUAACACCUGCAAGUCGAACGGGAAACCUUUUAAUGAAGCUUCGGCAGAUUUAGCUGGUUUCUAGUGGCGGACGGGUGAGUAACGCGUGGGUAACCUGCCUUAUACAGGGGGAUAACAGUCAGAAAUGACUGCUAAUACCGCAUAAGCGCACAGGACCGCAUGGUCCGGUGUGAAAAACUCCGGUGGUAUAAGAUGGACCCGCGUUGGAUUAGCUUGUUGGUGGGGUAACGGCUCACCAAGGCGACGAUCCAUAGCCGGCCUGAGAGGGUGAACGGCCACAUUGGGACUGAGACACGGCCCAGACUCCUACGGGAGGCAGCAGUGGGGAAUAUUGCACAAUGGGGGAAACCCUGAUGCAGCGACGCCGCGUGAAGGAAGAAGUAUCUCGGUAUGUAAACUUCUAUCAGCAGGGAAGAUAGUGACGGUACCUGACUAAGAAGCCCCGGCUAACUACGUG
rnacentral:rRNA from 1 species